GACGAACCGAGCGAACGUUGUUCGGAAUUACUGGGCGUAAAGGGCGCGUAGGCGGCCUUCUAAGUCGAACGUGAAAUCCCCGGGCUCAACCCGGGAACUGCGUCCGAUACUGGAAGGCUUGAAUCCGGGAGAGGGAUGUGGAAUUCCAGGUGUAGCGGUGAAAUGCGUAGAUAUCUGGAGGAACACCGGUGGCGAAGGCGACAUCCUGGACCGGUAUUGACGCUGAGGCGCGAAAGCCAGGGGAGCAAACGGG
rnacentral:rRNA from 1 species